ACCUCCCCUUCCUCAGCUACGGCCUGUCCUCAGUCCUGGAUGCCAGGCCAUGCCUUGGGGACCCAGUUUGUCCCAGAUCUCAAAGGAAAAUGUAAAUGAGAGGCACAGAGAUGCAAGAGAAACAGAGAAAGGAACAGAGGCACACAGAGUGACAGCGAGAUGGAAAGUCAGAGAGGCAGAGCGAGAAAGGUCUUAAGAAGAGAGCAACUGCCGUGAUUAAUCCGAAAUGCCCAUUUGCCACGUCAGAAGAGAAAGCCAUGGUGGGGAGUUCUGGGCUCUGCUGCCCUGGCGAGAACCCUCUGGAACAGGAUGAUAAGAAUAUAAUUUACAGAUAGAAUAAGAAGAGAAACUGGAUUCAUAGAUAAUGUCUCCACUGUUGCCUAAAAGGUGCCAAUACUGCUUUCACAAAGAUAUGGAAACAUGCUUCCCCCUCUAAAUCCCCUCUGAUUGCCAAUGAGCAAGCCAGGUACAACUGUUACUGAAGGUUCCUGUGAAGCCAAGUUUGAAAACUCGUUUCACCCACUGAAGAAGAGGAAAGUAGGAAGAUGGUGUUGACUACACACCAUGCACCAACCUUGGGGCUAUGAGUGGUAAAAACAUGACCGCCUUGUACACUUAUGAUGAGUACUGAGUAAUGAAUAGAAUUGUUGAAUCAUAUAUUGUAUAUCUGAAAUUAAUAUAACACUGUGUGUUAACUAUACUGGAAUUUAAGAAAAAUAAUAAAGUCAACUGAUUAUAAAUUUUUUUAAAAAAUGGCGCCCCUAAUCCCCAAGAUCAUCUUCUGAGGACAGUGUUACUGCCCUGAUUUUAGAGACUGGGAAAUUGAUGCUGAGGGCUGCUUAGUUAAUUGCCACAAGUCACUCAGCUGGUAAGAGGUAAGUGAGACUUGAGCCCUGCUCUCCUGGUUCUUGUAGCUCAUGGUCGCUCAUGUGAGGUCUGCUUGAUGUGAGGGCUAGAGUGUCUUGGGGGUAAUGCUCUCCUCCAACAUUAAAGCCUAUGAUGAGGGGCGCCUGGGUGGCUCAGUUGGUUAAGUGACUGCCUUCGGCUCAGAUCAUGAUCCUGGAGUCCUGGGAUCGAGUCCUGCAUCGGGCUCCCUGCUCAGCAGGGAGUCUGCUUCUCCCUCUGACCUUCCCCCCUCUCGUGUACUCUCUCUCAUUCUCUCUCUCAAAUAAAUAAAUAAAAUCUUAAAAAAAAAAAAAAUAAAGCCUAUGAUGAAUGUGCAGUGUGGACAGCCAGGAGCAGGGGCUGCUAGAAGCCUGGCUGACCCCUACAGGCCUGGGAAUGUCUAGGGAGCUCAGCACUGCUCUACAGGAAGAGGGAAGUCUGUGAGCUUCGAGAUUCAGCCCAGGUAGCAGCUCUGAGAAGACUUCCCGGGAAUCACAGGUGGACCCAGAGCCCAAUUCCAGGCCCCAGUGGUUGUCUUAGCAUUUGCUGCCUCAUUCUGGAAUUUUCUUCAUUUCUGUCUUUCACUUGAGACCCCAAGCCCCUUGAAGUCAAAGCCAUGACUCAUUCAUUCUCAUUCCCCACUCUGACCUGGCCAAAGGUUGGCAUGAGGAAGGAUCUUACUAAAUGACCACUGAGCUGAACUGAACCGAAGGGCCCAGAGCGGGAGCACAGAGCUGCUAUCGUGGAGAGACAAAUGACUGCCCAAGGCAGGGAACCGUGGCGACGAACGAGAGCAAGGAAGAUGAAGGCCCGGUGGCGUUCCACUUUUUGACUGUUAUGAAUUAAACUGUUAUGAACAUUUGCUCACAAGUCUUCGUGUACACAUGUGUUUUCAUUCUCUUUGGGUAAAUACCCAGGAGUAGAAUUGCUAUGUCAUUGGGAAAAUAUAUGUUUAACUUUACGAGAAACCAGGAAACAGCUUUCCAAGUUGUUGGUGCCAUCGGACAUUGCCACCAGUGAUGUAUGAGCAUUCUAUCCUAGUGGGUGUGUAAGAAUACAGCCUUAUAGUUUUGACUGGCAUUUCCCUGAUGACUCAUGGUAUCAGUUAUUUUUUCAUGUGCUUAUUGGCCAUCUGUAUGUCUUUUUUUAUAAGGAGUCUAGAUCCUUUG